rnacentral:rRNA from 1 species
UACGUAGGGUGCAAGCGUUAAUCGGAAUUACUGGGCGUAAAGCGUGCGCAGGCGGUUUUGUAAGUCUGUCGUGAAAUCCCCGGGCUCAACCUGGGAAUGGCGAUGGAUACUGGACAGCUAGAGUGUGUCAGAGGAUGGUGGAAUUCCCGGUGUAGCGGUGAAAUGCGUAGAGAUCGGGAGGAACAUCAGUGGCGAAGGCGGCCAUCUGGGGACAACACUGACGCUGAAGCACGAAAGCGUGGGGAGCAAACAGG